UAAAAUCUUCGGGUUAAGAAGAGGCCAAGGUGGGCUUUGAAUGAGCUCCAUCUGCCUCCUGAACAUAAGGGUUCAUCUGCUGCUCUCUUGCUUCCUCCAGCAACGUCCCUGAGCUGAGAGGGAGCAUAUGAGUUCAUGGAAGUUACAAGAAGGGACAAAAAGGUUCACCAUUCUAUCUUAUUUGGGCCACUACCUCCUAGCCUGUCCUCAUACAGAUAUGAAAACUGAAGGCCCCGAUUACCAGAAACCAGUCAGGGACCAAGCAGAGAGGAUAGAUGGAAAGCAGACAGUGCCUGGAGAUCAGCAGCCCUAGGCCCUGACUUUCCCAAACCCUGAGCAU
rnacentral:lncRNA from 1 species